GCGCGCGCGUCAGUCGCCGCCGCCGCCGCCGCCCUGGGGUCAGCUGCCCGGGUCUAGCCGGAGUCUUCGCUCUCCGCACCCUUCCCCACUGUCCCUCGGUGCCCGCGGACAGCGCCCCGGCACACAGCAAGCCGGGGUUUACCUCGCUAGGACAGCCCUGUCACGUCGGUGCCCCAGCCCCUUAGCACAGUGCGGAGCGCGUGACGGGAGCCUCAUAGUAUUCCGAAGUGGAAGCCUAACUGGACUGCCAAGUCCCAGGCUCCGCUUGAGUGCUCUCUUGAAACUCUAGGCUAAUAGACGUCUCGGGUUGAACGCAUCUUUUGUGGGCCCUUCCUUCCGAUCUCGGGUGGGCAGCUAGCACAUCACUUCCCCUUCCUCUAGACCCGCUCACACGUCACCUUGUUUAAGAGGUCUGUCUUGAAAUCUUCAGUCACCCCCAUCCUGUCUGCUCCCUGGCCUUUCCGAUUAUUCCCGUUCUUUGAUUUUUGGUUUGACUGGCUUAGUUGGUUGGCUUUUUUUUUUUUUUUUUUUUUUUUAAGACAGAGUCUCCCUAUGCAUCUCAGGUUGGCCUCAAAUUGGAAAUUCUGCCUCAACUUGCCAAGUGAUGACAGGUGUGUGCCACACCGCACCUGGUCACUCUUCACGAUACAACUACCUAAAAUAUUUAUUGUCUCUCUUACUUCCCCUGAAGACAGGGACCUAUUCUGACUUGUUCCCUUUUGCCCCUCGUAGGAAAAACAAAAUCUGAAACAUUAAACAAUACUUUUUUCCUCUCUCAAAAUGCUCACACAGACCUGCACAGAGUUUUGUCUCCUAGCUAAUUCUAAAUAGCAAGUUGACAAGACCUAUCACAAACCUCAUUUGUCCUUAAGUAUAAUUCUGGUCUUGUUUCCCAUACAUGCACUGAUGUCCCCACAUCCCAGUUGUGUUGAAAUAUCUGGCUAGGAAAUUCACUAGAAGAGGGAACUGAAGAUGGAUGCUGUUUGCUUACUAAUUUACAAAACACUAAGCAAGCACCCACUAUCCAUAUGAAGGAAGGGGAACUUAUAAGGUACUGAAGAUCACAACUAAUAAGGAACUAAUAUGGCACUAACGAUCACAGGCUUCCUCCUAGUUGCCCACAUCUUUCAUCCACCUAAUCCACAAAUUACAAAUCUGAGAAUUCUUUUUUGCUUUGCUCCACCCUCUUUCUAACAAUUUACUGGCCGAUAAUGUCUCCAAAUAUCUCUUCUACUCCUUUUCAAUAUAUAUUUACUCUUGGUCUUUUGGUCAUUCUAACUAUUGCACCCUUCCCUGUUGACCUCCCCAUCCAGAAUCUUCUCUGUCCAGACCAUGCACCUCAGAGGCAUUGAAAUGCCUUCUUUGUCUGCUUUCCUUUUUCCUAAGGGUUGAAGCAGCAACUUUGGCGUACUAAGCAAACACUUUACUAUUUAAGCACAUUCCCAUCAAAGAGUGACUCAUUCCUCACUUCUUCCUUCCUCUCUUCGUUUCUUUUCCUGUUGCUGUGACAAAGUACUUUGAGAAAAGCAACUUAAGGGGAAAGGGGUUUUUGUUUUGUUUUUCUGGACCACAGUUCAUGGUACAGUCCAUGAUGGUGGGAAACUCAAGGCAGUAUUGAACUUGAAGUAUUGAAGUUGAACUUGAAGCAGCUGGUCACAUUACAUCCCCUUUCAAGAAGUGGACAGAGAACAAUGAAGACCUGCUAGUGAGAUGCUGCUUUCUCCACUUUAUACACACCAGAAUCCCCUGCCCAGAGAAUGAUCCCGCCCACAUUAAGAUGGGUCUUCCUACAUCAACUAACCUAAUGGCUCAUCAUCCACAGGCUGCUCAAAGGCCCAUCUCCAGCUACAGAAAGGAAGUGACUGGGCAGAACCGAACAGUCUGGGGCAAGGAUGACUUCCAGCAGAAGGAAUGGACUGCACAGGCCUGUGCCCAGUGAUAGCUCACAGACAACAAGGACCUGGGAGAAGUCCUCAGCGGCCAGGUCCUUCGUUGCUCAAAGUGUGGCUGUCAUGUGGGAGUGAGAAGUUCUGAGAAAAUGAGAGAAACAGCUUUGGGGAUUCACAGAGCAAUGACUUUCUUCCUUCUCUGUCCUUCUCAUCCCUACACCAAGUCCAAGUGCUUUAGAGAAUGCAUCAAACUCUGAGGAAAACUGCAAGCUGAAUGUCUUCAUUCCCUGAGCCCAGCACUUAGGUGGAGGUGUCGGUACCUGGAGCUGAAGCUGGCGUCCCUGGGAGAGGUGGGGCCGAUAGUCUCUACUUCUCCUGUGGGAUGCAGCUUCUCCCCCAACCCCAACUCCUCAGGCAGUGGGGGUGGCAGGGGAGCUUAGCAGACAGACAAGUCUCAGGAAGCUAUUCUGGGUAAUAGAACAGUCUGUGUAGGGGUGUGGAAGCAUAGCUUAAAGAAGGUAAGUCCUUCGGUGUGAACGGAGGCUGGGAUGGCAGCAGUUCCGGGAAAUGAGGCUAGAGGGAUGUAUUGGCUCCAUGUUAUGGAACGCCUCGUUUGUUACCGCAAGGAAUAUAAAAUGAGCUUGUCAUGCUCUUCCAACGAGGGUCCUGUUAUGUAACAGCGAAGAGAAACACAGUUGGAAAUGGAAAUGGGGCUUGAUUCACCGGAAACUGGAGGAGGUAGAUCUUAAUUUGCACACCCGAGUGCAUCACUAAGCUUCGGAUCUACUGAGGCAGAUAAUGGCAAGGUCCACUUUGCACCUGGAUUUGCAUACCUGCUGGCCCCUGGGCCUUGCUUUCUGAGCUCCAGCACUGCCUGUGGACCGCUUACCCUGAACCUCAAGGCAGAGUUUUCCCAGACUUCUCUAGUUUCCCUGUCCUAUUCUCCAGUUCAUGUGCAGUAAAGGAACAUAACCUUGCCUCAAAUUUGUCAAAAAAACCAUCAUAUGCCCUCUAGGCAGAAUGUGUUGUUUCAUGACCCUGUUCAAUCCUGGAUGUCAUUUCCUAUCAUAGAGAAUAAUCUUUUUACAAAUGUCCCAUGGCCACAUCAGUGGUAUCUCAGUUUUUCCUCAGAAUGGAAUUGGGCAUGGGGAAUAUGUCCAAAGGUCUAAGCCCCUCCAGGUUGAACAGCCACCUCUGGUUAAGGGAGUUUGCAUGGCUGGCUUUGGGAUUAGAGCCCUAGGCAGUCCUCCCACAUACACUCUGACCAGAUUCCCCUCCGCUCAAGGCCCAAGUUGAUUGAUU